rnacentral:rRNA from 1 species
CCUACGGGUGGCAGCAGUGAGGAAUAUUGGUCAAUGGGCGCGAGCCUGAACCAGCCAAGUAGCGUGAAGGAUGACUGCCCUACGGGUUGUAAACUUCUUUUAUAAAGGAAUAAAGUGAGGCACGUGUGCCUUUUUGUAUGUACUUUAUGAAUAAGGAUCGGCUAACGCAGUGCCAGCAGCCGCGGUAAUAUGGAGGAUCCGAGCGUUAUCCGGAUUUAUUGGGUUUAAAGGGAGCGUAGAUGGGUUGUUAAGUCAGUUGUGAAAGUUUGCGGCUCAACCUUAAAAUUGCAAUGGAUACUGGCAGUCUUGAGUACAGUUGAGGUAGGUGGAAUUCGUGGUGUAGCAGUGAAAUGCGUAGAUAUCACGAAGAACUCCGAUUGCGAAGGCAGCUUACUAAACUGCCACUGACAUUGAUGCUCGAAAGUGUGGGUAUCAAACAGGAUUAGAUACCCCAGUAGUC